rnacentral:rRNA from 1 species
AUUGAACGCUGGCGGCAGGCCUAACACAUGCAAGUCGAGCGGAUGAAGGGAGCUUGCUCCUGGAUUCAGCGUCGGACGGGGGAGUAAUGCCUAGGAAUCUGCCUGGUAGUGGGGGAUAACGUCCGGAAACGGGCGCUAAUACCGCAUACGUCCUGAGGGAGAAAGUGGGGGAUCUUCGGACCUCACGCUCUCAGAUGAGCCUAGGUCGGAUUAGCUAGUUGGUGGGGUAAAGGCCUACCAAGGCGACGAUCCGUAACUGGUCUGAGAGGAUGAUAAGUCACACUGGAACGGAGACACGGUCCAGGCUCCUACGGGAGGCAGCAGUGGGGAAUAUUGGACAAUGGGCGAAAGCCUGAUCCAGCCAUGCCGCGUGUGUGAAGAAGGUCUUCGGAUUGUAAAGCACUUUAAGUUGGGAGGAAGGGCAGUAAGUUAAUACCUUGCUGUUUUGACGGUACCAACAGAAUAAGCACCGGCUAACUUCGUG